GAGUUUGAUCCUGGCUCAGGACGAACGCUGGCGGCGUGCCUAAUACAUGCAAGUCGAGCGGAUUGAUGGGAGCUUGCUCCCUGAUAUCAGCGGCGGACGGGUGAGUAACACGUGGGCAACCUGCCUGUAAGACUGGGAUAACUUCGGGAAACCGGAGCUAAUACCGGAUAAUCCUUUUCCUCACAUGAGGGGAAGCUGAAAGACGGCGUAAGCUGUCACUUACUGAUGGGCCCGCGGCGCAUUAGCUAGUUGGUGAGGUAACGGCUCACCAAGGCAACGAUGCGUAGCCGACCUGAGAGGGUGAUCGGCCACACUGGGACUGAGACACGGCCCAGACUCCUACGGGAGCAGCAGUAGGGAAUCUUCCGCAAUGGAC
rnacentral:rRNA from 1 species